rnacentral:rRNA from 1 species
GUCGGGAAUUUUGGGCAAUGGGCGAAAGCCUGACCCAGCAACGCCGCGUGAGGGAUGAAGGCCUUCGGGUCGUAAACCUCUGUCGGGAGGGAAGAACGUUCCCGGGGUGAACAAUCCCGGGGGCUGACGGUACCUCUAGAGGAAGCGCCGGCUAACUCCGUGCCAGCAGCCGCGGUAAUACGGAGGGCGCAAGCGUUGUUCGGAAUCAUUGGGCGUAAAGCGCGUGUAGGCGGCUUGGCAAGUCGAGUGUGAAAGCCCGGGGCUCAACCCCGGAAGGUCGCUCGAAACUGCCUCGCUCGAGUCCCGGAGAGGAAGGCGGAAUUCCCGGUGUAGAGGUGAAAUUCGUAGAUAUCGGGAGGAACACCAGCGGCGAAGGCGGCCUUCUGGACGGUGACUGACGCUGAGACGCGAAAGCGUGGGGAGCAAACAGGAUUAGAUACCCGAGUAGUCC